GUUUUCAUUCCUUCCAGUCAAAGCAGAAAGAGAUUUUCCUGCCAUUUGGACCUGUCUUCCUGCAAAACUCAUGGAUUUGCAUAUCAUAUUUUACUGUAUUUUACUUAUUUCAGAUUUUGUGUUUAUGAGGUACUGAAACAAAGGCUUGACCCCUCACAGUUUUAAGGGAUGCAGAAUACCCUUUGGGAACAGAGAUGGAUUGCUGUCAUCGGGUCAUCCUAUGUCUGCCUCCAGAGGUGGCCGUGAUACUGAAGAACAGUGAGGGGCCAGUAAGUAGUGGAAGAGGGUGUCCUUUCACACUCCUUCCAGAAUUCCCUACCUUUUCUUAAUAGCCCUUUUGUUUACCUUGGAGUUUAUCCAAAUCUUCAUUUAAACAAAUAUCUUUGGCUUCAAGAAGACACAGGAUUGGUCAUGUCUCAUCAUCUUUAUUUCUACUUCUCCCUGACAUGUGGAGAAGUCCUAUAGUUGAUCUUCUUUACCGAGACUUCAGUUUAAAAAGAACUUUAAUAAACUAAUUUACUUUAGUGAUGUAACUUAAUAUAAUUUAGUGAUGACACAAAACUAAAUCUGAAACAUUUAGAAUAGUAUUUUAUUAAAAAUAAAUUACUUUCCCUUCCCU
rnacentral:lncRNA from 1 species